GCUUUCACUUACUUGUCCGUCUAAUAUUUUUUUUAAAGAUAUGUUUUCAGUCCUUUUGCUGAAAGGGAGGGGUUUUUAUGCAUUACUUUCAAUGUGCGUUCCUUUUCAAAUCAUCUCAAAACAUCAUCUCUCUAACGUAGAGUAACAGCGAUAAUUAAGCUUUAACUUGCACUUAGACCAAAAGUUUUUUAUUACUGUAUCCACGUUAAGACUUUUCUGCACAAUGUAAAACUGCGAUUUACCUUGUUGUGACUUAACCCCCAAUUUUCUUUUUAGAUGUUCAACAAGACAUUGGUGCACUGUGUUACCUUUCACCCAGUGAAACAUCACACAAUCUUUGUUGAUGCCCUUGCACGGCAUCAAAAUGUCAAAGGGGGCGUUAACCACAUUAUUAAUCAUGCAAAUAAAUAUUGCGGGAAUAUCUUCACGCAUAGGUAUAACGUAUCAUUCAGCAAUGUGCACAAAUUUGACCUCGAAAAAGGUGUUUGAACUUGUCUUUGUCCUUUUCUCUUUUGCUAACAUAGGCAAUGAUAGAUUAUUCAUGAGUCAUGUUGAUUGUUUUGACAGACGCUGUGGCAACGACAAUGAAAGCAACGUUCAGUUCAUUUGUGUGAGUCACAAAUCUGCCUUAAAACUGAAAUGGCCCAGAUCCGCCUGAAAAUCCUCCCCAGCGCCCGCUGUCUCUUUGACAAACUGGUUCAAGUCAAAGUCGAGGGUCUCGCUCCACACAAACAGGUGGAAUUAAGGUCGAGAUUGGUUGACGACAAAGGGGUGAUUUUCAAAGCUUCCGCCCUCUACCAAGCGGAUGAAAAAGGCCUGGUCGAUGUGAGUAGCACCCCCUCUCUGGGAGGAAGUUACACUGGAGUGGAGCCCAUGGGCUUAUGGUGGUCCAUGAGGCCAGACACCCCGCACAAAAAACUGGUGAAGAAAAACGUCCUGAGCCCAACUCUCGUGGAGAUAGCAGUCCACAACGGAGGCACUGGCGAGAAGAUAGCCUCUGAAAUCAAUGAGAGAGAAUAUAUGACGGAGGGCAUGAGGAGAAUUCCUGUGCAAGAGGGACGUGUGCGAGGAGUCCUCUUUAUACCACCAGGGAAGGGGCCAUUCCCUGGAAUUCUGGAUUUAUAUACUUUAGGUGGAGGCCUAAAUGAACAGCGAGCCAGCCUCUUGGCAAACAAAGGUUUUGUUGUGCUGGCACUGGCCUAUUAUGGCUACCAAGAUUUACCCAAAAAUCCCAAGAACUUGGAUUUGGAAUACUUUGAAGAGGCUGCAAACUUUCUGCAGAAACAUCCAGAGGUUCGAGGUCCUGGCAUAGGCGUAAUAUCAAUGUCCCAUAGCGGUGCUUUGGCAUUGUCAAUGGCGUCAUUUUUCUCAGGAAUCACAGCAACCGUCUGUAUCAAUGGCUGCAGUGGCAAUACCGUGAUUCCAUUACACUACAAAGACUCUGUUAUACCGCCACUACGACCUGUCUUAUGGAAGACAAGAAUUCGCAGAUCUUGGCUGAUUGAUAUCCGCGAUGUGACGCCAGAUCCGACCUUGAAAAAAAAUCGGGCGUCUUUAAUUCCAAUAGAGCGUGCCAACUGCCACUUCCUGUUUGCCGCUUCAGAAGACGACCGCAACUGGAACAGCGCUUUUUUCGCCAGGCAAGCCGCUGACAUUUUGAAAUGUCACGGCAAGGAAUCCUUUCAGGUGGUUUCUUACCCGAAAGCUGGACACUUUUUGGAAGUUCCUCACAUGCCAUUUUGUCCGUCUUCCUUCCAUGCUGCAGUGGGAAGAGCUGUGGCGUUUGGUGGGGAGCCAAAAGCCCACUCGGAGGCUCAGCUGGACUUGUGGGAGUGCGUCCAAGAGUUCUUCAAAAGACACUUGAACAACACGCGCGCAUAUUAGCAAGCAUCAAGUGUGUCAGGCAUCCAAGGCUCACAUGUUUGACACCAAAUGAGGUCAACACAACCAUGAUAUUUAGACACUCCAAAAUGAUAUUUCCUGUGAUGACAGCACAUAAACUCGAUUUAAAGAUU